rnacentral:lncRNA from 1 species
CCGAGGAAGCAGCCUGCCCCAGCCCUUGGCCGCGGGGAGCAGGGCAGCAGGGUCCCACGAGCCGGGGGGCUGCGGGCCGUGGGCGGCCCCGGGUGCCUGCAGCCCUGUGAGUGGGGCCAGUGCUGGGGGGAGAGGGCAGAGUGUCCCCCAGGGCAAGUGGCACGUGGGGCACCAGGGUACAGGGUGCCCAGGAGAUGAGCGCACAGCGGAGAGCAGGGCACCGCCAGCCGACCGCAGGCAGCACAGCCCUUCCUCCGCUCCCUCGAAGGAGCUCCGCAUGCCUCGGGCAGGUGGGGCAGCGAAGGCGCCCGGCGGAGCACAAGGGAGAAAACUUAUCCCGGCACAGGGGGGGACACGGGGUGGCACCUUGCAGCCAGCGCUGGGCGCCCGCGGGAACCCAAGGCCAGCCGGGGCCGAGUCUGCCGCAGCAGCAAUCCCUGGCCCUGGGAUCCGAAGCAAAUCGUCGCCCCCCGGAGUCCCAGCGCAGCCCUGGUCCCCGCUGCCCCGCGGCUAAUAAUAAAUCACAGCAGGGCUGCGCGGAGAUGCCGCCGCGGGGCAGCGGGGACGGCGGCCCCCGACUCACCUUUCCUCCCUCGAUCUCCUAAAAAUAGCUGUUCAGUUGUUAUUUUUGUUCUGCUGCUUUGUGUGAUAUAAAAAAAAAAUCCCAGUGGCUGUGAAAUGAGAAACACACAAAAUAUUUACCAAACUUCCAGUUUUGAGCCAGAUUUUCAACAUCUGGAGAAUUAAAAGGCUCUGGCAGAUUCGGCGAGCUGUCAUCAUAAAAGGUUUAAGUAUGUUGUUAUUGUUAUUUAUGGUCUGGAUCCUGGGAUGAGUGAAGGCCAAAAGUUUCAAAAAUAGAUUGAAAAAGGGGAAUGGAUGGUUUUUCCAGAACCAGCUCACUUCAAUAACGCUCCUCUGAACAUUGAGAUAUUAAGAUGUAACUCUCAAAAUACAUCUAAAAAGCAACUGCGAGAGGAAUGCGCGCGGCAAAGCCUCAUCUCCCGGAGCUGCGCUGGCACGGUGGAGCGCGGCGUUCCCGCGUGCCUGCCCGGUAACCGGCAUGGUGUUUCCAUCAGGGCCGGCUCGGAAAGGAAGCGAGAUUUCGCCUCAUGUCCCGCGGCCGGCUCGCGUGGCCUCCGGCUCUAAA